ACCACCUCCUUUCCGUUUGAACAAUGGGGGGACGCAGUAAGGUAGGGUGAGCGCACUGAUGGAAUAGUGCGUCUAAGCAGUUAGGCUGUUGGGUAGGCAAAUCCGCCCAACGUGAAGGCUGAGCUGUGAUGGCGAGGGAAAUUUUAGUACCGAAGUCCCUGAUCCUACACUGCCAAGAAAAGCCUCUAGUGAGGAAAGAGGUGCCCGUACCGCAAACCGACACAGGUAGGCGAGGAGAGAAUCCUAAGAUGAUCGGGAGAACUCUCGUUAAGGAACUCGGCAAAAUGACCCCGUAACUUCGGGAGAAGGGGUGCUCUGAUAGGGUUUAUCGCCCGAGAGAGCCGCAGUGAAUAGAUCCAAGCGACUGUUUAGCAAAAACACAGGUCUCUGCGAAACCGCAAGGUGAAGUAUAGGGGCUGACACCUGCCCGGUGCUGGAAGGUUAAGAGGAGGGGUUAUCCUUUGGGAGAAGCUCUGAAUUGAAGCCCCAGUAAACGGCGGCCGUAACUAUAACGGUCCUAAGGUAGCGAAAUUCCUUGUCGGGUAAGUUCCGACCCGCACGAAAGGUGUAACGACUUGGAUACUGUCUCAACGAGAGACCCGGUGAAAUUAUAGUACCUGUGAAGAUGCAGGUUACCCGCGACAGGACGGAAAGACCCCAUGGAGCUUUACUGCAACUUGAUAUUGGAUUUUGGUACAGCUUGUACAGGAUAGGUAGGAGCCUGAGAAGCCGGAGCGCCAGCUUCGGUGGAGGCGUCGGUGGGAUACUACCCUGGCUGUAUUGAAAUUCUAACCUUGGACCGUAAUCCGGUUCGGAGACAGUGUCAGGUGGGCAGUUUGACUGGGGCGGUCGCCUCCUAAACAGUAACGGAGGCGCCC
rnacentral:rRNA from 1 species